UCUCUCACAACAAUAAUCAACAAUGGUGGGUGGCUCUAUCACAAUCCACAAUCCAACAGUUCUUUCUCAAACCUGCAAGCCAGUGAACUCUUUGACUUUUCCUCAAAUUCCCCUCAUUGACCUUUCUAAACCUGACUCAAACAUCUAUUAGACUAUUUUGGAUUCUUUAAGGUAGUUAAUCAUGGGUUGCAUCAAUAAACUUGAAUCACAAGCCACUAAAUUCUUCUCAAUUACUCAAAGAAAAAGCCAGUCCACCCGACCCUUUCGGUUAUGGCAAUAAAACAUUGGUCGAAAUGGCGACGUUGGUUGGGUUGAAUAUCUCCACCUCGACCUAAAACCCGAUUCCCAUUACAACAAACUUCAACACCCAGAAAAUUUCCAGUAUGAUUCUUAACUUAUUUUCAAGAAUUCAUGACAUUUAUGUUGCUCCUCUCUGUGCUGUGGAUGAUUAUGUGACAGCAGUGAAGAAUAUGGCAUGUAAGUGAUG
rnacentral:lncRNA from 1 species